CUCCUACGGGAGGCGCAGUGGGGAAUUUUGCGCAAUGGGGGAAACCCUGACGCAGCAACGCCGCGUGGAGGAUGAAAUCCCUUGGGAUGUAAACUCCUUUCGAUCGGGAAGAUAAUGACGGUACCGACGACGAAGAAGCCCGGCUAACUUCGUGCCAGCAGCCGCGGUAAUAC
rnacentral:rRNA from 1 species